rnacentral:lncRNA from 1 species
CUCUUUCCGGGCCAGAGCCGGGGCAGCGCUCUAAAUUAAGGUCGACCUCCAGCGCUGGGUGAAGUCUUGAGUCCGCCCGGGAGCCCUAGAAGAGACUGGGGCAGCAUGAAUGUGCUGGAAGAUUAGAGGCUGCUGAUGCUGAAGGAAGGAGAAACGAGGAGGAAGUGUCCCUGUGGACAAGUCAUCUCCCUUCAUUUAAGCCAGGCCAGUAGUCCGGGAGACAUUCUGAAUGAUGCAUUAUCCUAGGCACCAGAAAGUAUCUAACAUUCUCAUGGACAGCAGGGAAAAAUGAGCACAUGAGACAGGGGAAGAUUCCAGCACCUGUGAACAUGUUUGUGCAGGUUUCCAGUCAGUACAUGGAUAUCCCUCAAGCCUUUGAAUCCAGUCUCCUGUGUUGUGAUUGGACCGUUUGUCAUUAGGUUUCCAGUGGCAGAGUAAUGCUGUGGGAGAACUGGCUACGAUGGCCGCAGGAGGUGAAUUAAGUAUUGUUGUGUUUUUAGUAGAACCACUAAAGGAAGAUCUGCAGGCAAGUUGGAUGAGUAUAAGAGCCAAAGAUUGACAAGACUUCCUCAGAUGCUCCUACUGACCAGUGGGGGCACUUCUACAGCUCCCCGAAUAUGUUCUCCCUGCAACCCCCACCACUUUUUAAUUAAAUGGCCAGAACUGCCUUUUUGUAUCAAAACUUAUUUUAGUCUAUCAAUCAAAGGCUUCUAUAGCCCACCUCAUGGCAAAGGAUAUCAGAGAGGUAAAAGAUAAUUGUUUUGACAUAUUUAUUAUCACAACUAGCGACUCUUUCUGCAUUCACAUUGGCUGGUAUGCAGAAAAGGGUGCUUUACAGGAUUCUUGGAAAUGUGUAGUGGAUGCUGGCUCUAGGGGAGGCAGAAUAGAGUGUGGGUUCUGCCAUGGGUCACAUCCGGGUUUUAAUUCUGCCUCUGCCACAUGACCUUGAGCACACUGGAAAACCCUAUUAGAUGUGCAAGAAGGCUUCCCCAUCUGUAAAGGUGGGUGACUUAGCAACUUUAGCAAUGCUUAAGUCACCCGGUUGUUGUGAGUAAUACAUAAGUUAAUGUAUGCUAACUUUCUAGAAAGUUUCCUGGCACAAAGUUGUAUUUAAUAAAUGAUUUUUAAAACAA